rnacentral:rRNA from 1 species
UACGGAGGGAGCUAGCGUUGUUCGGAAUUAUUGGGCGUAAAGAGCUCGUAGGCGGUGUGUCGCGUCGGCCGUGAAAACCUGCAGCUUAACUGUGGGCUUGCGGUCGAUACGGGCAUCACUGGAGUUCGGCAGGGGAGACUGGAAUUCCUGGUGUAGCGGUGAAAUGCGCAGAUAUCAGGAGGAACACCGAUGGCGAAGGCAGGUCUCUGGGCAUUAACUGACGCUGAGGAGCGAAAGCAUGGGGAGCGAACAGG